rnacentral:rRNA from 1 species
CCUACGGGUGGCUGCAGUGGGGAAUAUUGGACAAUGGGCGAAAGCCUGAUCCAGCCAUGCCGCGUGUGUGAAGAAGGCCUUCGGGUUGUAAAGCACUUUCAGUGGGGAAGAAAGCCUUGGGGCUAAUACCCUCGAGGAAGGACAUCACCCACAGAAGAAGCACCGGCUAACUCCGUGCCAGCAGCCGCGGUAAUACGGAGGGUGUGAGCGUUAAUCGGAAUUACUGGGCGUAAAGCGCGCGUAGGCGGUCUGAUAAGCCGGUUGUGAAAGCCCCGGGCUCAACCUGGGAACGGCAUCCGGAACUGUCAGGCUAGAGUGCAGGAGAGGAAGGUAGAAUUCCCGGUGUAGCGGUGAAAUGCGUAGAGAUCGGGAGGAAUACCAGUGGCGAAGGCGGCCUUCUGGACUGACACUGACGCUGAGGUGCGAAAGCGUGGGUAGCAAACAGGAUUAAUACCCGAGUAGUC